rnacentral:rRNA from 1 species
AGAGUUUGAUCCUGGCUCAGGACGAACGCUGGCGGCGCGCUUAAUGCAUGCAAGUCGAGCGGGACUCCGCAAGGGGUUCAGCGGCAGACGGCUGAGUAACGCGUGAGUAACCUGCCCCAGAAAGAGGAAUAACACCGAGAAAUCGGUGCUAAUGCCACGUACGCUCGGCGGCGUAAGGCCGUUGAGGAAAGGAGUCGGGGUAACCUGAUUCCGUUCUGGGAGGGGCUCGCGUCCUAUCAGGCAGUCGGCGGGGUAAUGGCCCACCGAGCCUAAGACGGGUAGCCGGAGUGAGAGCUUGUACGGCCAGAGGGGGACUGAGAUACGGCCCCCACUCCUACGGGAGGCAGCAGCAGGGAAUUUUGCCCAAUGGGCGCAAGCCUGAGGCAGCGACGCCGCGUGAGGGACGAAGGCCUUCGGGUCGUAAACCUCUUUUGUCAGGGAAGAGUAAGGACGGUACCUGGCGAAUAAGCAACGGCUAACUACGUGCCAGCAGCCGCGGUAAUACGUAGGUUGCGAGCGUUGUCCGGAAUCACUGGGCGUAAAGGGUCCGCAGGUUGUCCUGUAAGUCUCCUGUGAAAUUUCUGGGCUUAACCCGGAAAGGCCGGGGGAUACUGCGGGACUAGAGGCCAUCAGAGGGAGACGGAAUUCCCGGUGUAGUGGUGAAAUGCGUAGAUAUCGGGAGGAACACCAGUGGCGAAAGCGGUCUUCCUGGGUGGCCCUGACACUCAUGGACGAAAGUGUGGGGAGCAAACCGGAUUAGAUACCCGGGUAGUCCACACCCUAAACUUUGGAUGCUGGGUUUGCGGGGUAUCGACCCCCUGCGAGCCGAAGCUAACGCGUUAAGCAUCUCGCCUGGGGACUACGGCCGCAAGGCUAAAACUCAAAGGAAUUGACGGGGGCCCGCACAAGCAGCGGAGCGUGUGGUUUAAUUCGAUGCAAAACGAAGAACCUUACCUGGGCUUGACAUGCAAGUGGUACUGAACCGAAAGGCAAGGGACCCGCAAGGGAGCUUGCACAGGUGCUGCAUGGUUGUCGUCAGCUCGUGCCGUGAGGUGUUGGGUUAAGUCCCGCAACGAGCGCAACCCUCGUCGCUAGUUACUAUGUCUAGCGAGACUGCCCCUAAAGGGAGGAAGGUGGGGAUGACGUCAAAUCAUCAUGGCUCUUACGUCCAGGGCUACACACGUGCUACAAUGCUCACCACAAAGGGUUGCAAUACAGCGAUGUAAAGCUAAUCCCUAAAAAGUGAGCUCAGUUCGGAUUGGAGUCUGCAAUUCGACUCCAUGAAGUUGGAUUCGCUAGUAAUCGGAUAUCAGCAACGAUCCGGUGAAUACGUUCCCGGGCCUUGUACACACCGCCCGUCAAGCCAUGGAAGCUGGGAGUGCCUGAAGUUCAUUACCGCAAGGAAUGACCUAGGGCAAUACUGGUGACUGGGGCUAAGUCGUAACAAGGUAACCGUACCGGAAGGUGUGGUUGGAUCACCUC